UGGACUAUAGCUUAGUGGUAGAGGGCAUGCUCGGUGUGCACAAGGUCCUGGGUUCAAUCCCCAGUAUUUCCA
rnacentral:tRNA from 1 species